rnacentral:rRNA from 1 species
CUUGCUCCGUGAGUGGCGCACGGCUGAGGAUCACGUGGGAACAUGCCUCCGGGUGGGGGACAACAGCGCGAAAGCGCUGCUAAUCCCGCAUACGCUCGUCGCACGACGAGGAAAGCGGCAACGCGCCGGGAGAGUGGCCAGCGGCCCAUCAGGUCGUAGGUGGGGUAACGGCCUACCUAGCCGAUGACGGGUAGCUGGUCUGUGAGGACAGACAGCCAGACUGGGACUGAGACACGGCCCAGACUCCUACGGGAGGCAGCAGCAAGGAAUUUUCGUCAAUGGGCGCAAGCCUGAACGAGCAACGCCGCGUGGAGGAUGACGGCCUUCGGGUUGUAAACUCCUUUUUCGGGGGACGAUGAUGACGGUACCCCGGGAAUAAGGCUCGGCUAACUCUGUGCCAGCAGCCGCGGUAAUACAGAGGAGCCAAGCGUUGUCCGGAUUGACUGGGCGUAAAGCGCACGCAGGCGGCAUCGCGCGUGGGGUGUGAAAUCUGGCCGCUUAACGGCCAGGCGCCAUCCCAUACGGCGAGGCUGGAGCGAUGCAGAGGUCGGUGGAAUUGCCGGUGUAGUGGUGAAAUGCGUAGAGAUCGGCAGGAACACCCAGGGGGAAACCAGCCGACUGGGCAUCUGCUGACGCUGAGGUGCGAGAGCGUGGGGAGCGAACCGGAUUAGAUACCCGGGUAGUCCACGCCGUAAACGAUGGCCACUCGGCCUUUGGCGACGGAACAUCCGUCGGUGGGGGCCUUAGCUAACGCGGGAAGUGGCCCGCCUGGGAACUACGAGCGCAAGCUUAAAACUCAAAGGAAUUGAC